GUCGAGCGGACAGAAGGGAGCUUGCUCCCGGAUGUUAGCGGCGGACGGGUGAGUAACACGUGGGUAACCUGCCUGUAAGACUGGGAUAACUCCGGGAAACCGGAGCUAAUACCGGAUAGUUCCUUGAACCGCAUGGUUCAAGGAUGAAAGACGGUUUCGGCUGUCACUUACAGAUGGACCCGCGGCGCAUUAGCUAGUUGGUGAGGUAACGGCUCACCAAGGCGACGAUGCGUAGCCGACCUGAGAGGGUGAUCGGCCACACUGGGACUGAGACACGGCCCAGACUCCUACGGGAGGCAGCAGUAGGGAAUCUUCCGCAAUGGACGAAAGUCUGACGGAGCAACGCCGCGUGAGUGAUGAAGGUUUUCGGAUCGUAAAGCUCUGUUGUUAGGGAAGAACAAGUGCAAGAGUAACUGCUUGCACCUUGACGGUACCUAACCAGAAAGCCACGGCUAACUACGUGCCAGCAGCCGCGGUAAUACGUAGGUGGCAAGCGUUGUCCGGAAUUAUUGGGCGUAAAGGGCUCGCAGGCGGUUUCUUAAGUCUGAUGUGAAAGCCCCCGGCUCA
rnacentral:rRNA from 2 species